UUCAAGACAAGAGUCACACCUCUGCACUCCUAGUGGCUUUGGUGUGCAAGAGUUCUCAAAGAGUAGUUGCUGAUCUUUAUUUACUGGUUGGUUUUCUAUGUAGCCCAACCAGUCACCUAUACAGCAACAUCC